rnacentral:rRNA from 1 species
AGCAAUAAAGAUUUGUGAUGUCCUUAGAGCAUCCUCCCCCCCCCCCCGGCCCGAGAGGGUCAGGAAACCUCUGAACCACCUCCUGUGAUAAUGAUCAGGGCCUGGAACCAACCCCGCGAACAAGGAAUUCCUGGUAGGUGUGGGUCAUCAGCCCACGUCAAUCAC